rnacentral:rRNA from 1 species
UACGAAGGGUGCAAGCGUUACUCGGAAUACUGGGCGUAAAGCGUGCGCAGGCGGUGAUGUAAGACAGUUGUGAAAUCCCCGGGCUCAACCUGGGAACUGCAUCUGUGACUGCAUCGCUGGAGUGCGGCAGAGGGGGAUGGAAUUCCGGCGUGUAGCAGUGAAAUGCGUAGAUAUGCGGAGGAACACCGAUGGCGAAGGCAAUCCCCUGGGCCUGCACUGACGCUCAUGCACGAAAGCGUGGGGAGCAAACAGG